rnacentral:lncRNA from 1 species
AGGACUUGAACUCUAAUAAUAAAUAAAUAUUAAAUAAACCUCUACUUGACUCUAAUUGAACCAAACUGACUCAAUAAACAACUGGACUAAACAAACUCAAUAAACAUUAUUCAAAAGCUCAGAAAAAGGGUCCUAACAAUUCCUCCCUCUUCAAAUCAGCCUUGUCCUCAAGGCUGAGCAGCAUCAAUCUCGGGGAGCUUCUCUUUCAGCACUUUAGCCAUAGACUAUCUGCAACGCAUCACAACCCGUUGAUCAAGUAAGUAUGGUCUCCAC